rnacentral:rRNA from 1 species
AGUGAACGCUGGCGGUAUGCCUAACACAUGCAAGUCGAACGGCCGCACAGUAAGAUCUUGCUCUUACGGUUAGCGAGUGACGGGCGGGUGAGGCAUACAUCGGCAUCUAAUUUUUCGUGGGUGAUAACGUAGGGCCACUGACGCUACUACCUCAUACGACCUACGGGUGAAAGCAGGAGUGCUUGGCGCCUUUCGCGUUUGAUUGAGCCGACGUCGGAUUAGCUAGUUGGCGGGGUAAGGGCCCACCAAGGCGACGAUGCGUAGCUGGUCUGAGAGGAUGAUCGGCCACACUGGAACUGAGACACGGUCCAGACUCCUACGGGAGGCAGCAGUGGGGAAUCUUCGACAAUGGGCGAAAGCCUGACGCAGCCACGCCGCGUGAGUGAUGAAGGUCUUCGGGUUGUAAAACUCUUUUAUUGGGAAAGAAAAGCAGCAGGUGUAACCCCCGACGUUCUGACGGUACCCAAACAGUAAGCACCGGCUAACUUCGUG